AGACCCGAAACCCGGUGAUCUAGCCAUGGGCAGGUUGAAGGUUGGGUAACACUAACUGGAGGACCGAACCGACUAAUGUUGAAAAAUUAGCGGAUGACCUGUGGCUGGGGGUGAAAGGCCAAUCAAACCGGGAGAUAGCUGGUUCUCCCCGAAAGCUAUUUAGGUAGCGCCUCGUGAAUUCAUCUCCGGGGGUAGAGCACUGUUUCGGCUAGGGGGCCAUCCCGGCUUACCAACCCGAUGCAAACUGCGAAUACCGGAGAAUGUUAUCACGGGAGACACACGGCGGGUGCUAACGUCCGUCGUGAAGAGGGAAACAACCCAGACCGCCAGCUAAGGUCCCAAAGUCAUGGUUAAGUGGGAAACGAUGUGGGAAGGCCCAGACAGCCAGGAUGUUGGCUUAGAAGCAGCCAUCAUUUAAAGAAAGCGUAAUAGCUCACUGGUCGAGUCGGCCUGCGCGGAAGAUGUAACGGGGCUAAACCAUGCACCGAAGCUGCGGCAGCGACGCUGAUGCGUUGUUGGGUAGGGGAGCGUUCUGUAAGCCUGCGAAGGUGGCCUGUGAGGGUUGCUGGAGGUAUCAGAAGUGCGAAUGCUGACAUAAGUAACGAUAAAGCGGGUGAAAAGCCCGCUCGCCGGAAGACCAAGGGUUCCUGUCCAACGUUAAUCGGGGCAGGGUGAGUCGACCCCUAAGGCGAGGCCGAAAGGCGUAGUCGAUGGGAAACGGGUUAAUAUUCCCGUACUUGGUGUUACUGCGAAGGGGGGACGGAGAAGGCUAUGUUGGCCGGGCGACGGUUGUCCCGGUUUAAGCGUGUAGGUGUGUGUUCCAGGUAAAUCCGGUUCACUUUAACACUGAGGCGUGAUGACGAGGCACUACGGUGCUGAAGCAACAAAUGCCCUGCUUCCAGGAAAAGCCUCUAAGCAUCAGGUAACAUCAAAUCGUACCCCAAACCGACACAGGUGGUCAGGUAGAGAAUACCAAGGCGCUUGAGAGAACUCGGGUGAAGGAACUAGGCAAAAUGGUGCCGUAACUUCGGGAGAAGGCACGCUGACACGUAGGUGAAGUGAUUUACUCAUGGAGCUGAAGUCAGUCGAAGAUACCAGCUGGCUGCAACUGUUUAUUAAAAACACAGCACUGUGCAAACACGAAAGUGGACGUAUACGGUGUGACGCCUGCCCGGUGCCGGAAGGUUAAUUGAUGGGGUCAGCGCAAGCGAAGCUCCUGAUCGAAGCCCCGGUAAACGGCGGCCGUAACUAUAACGGUCCUAAGGUAGCGAAAUUCCUUGUCGGGUAAGUUCCGACCUGCACGAAUGGCGUAAUGAUGGCCAGGCUGUCUCCACCCGAGACUCAGUGAAAUUGAACUCGCUGUGAAGAUGCAGUGUACCCGCGGCAAGACGGAAAGACCCCGUGAACCUUUACUAUAGCUUGACACUGAACAUUGAGCCUUGAUGUGUAGGAUAGGUGGGAGGCUUUGAAGUGUGGACGCCAGUCUGCAUGGAGCCGGCCUUGAAAUACCACCCUUUAAUGUUUGAUGUUCUAACGUGGACCCGUGAUCCGGGUUGCGGACAGUGUCUGGUGGGUAGUUUGACUGGGGCGGUCUCCUCCUAAAGAGUAACGGAGGAGCACGAAGGUUGGCUAAUCCUGGUCGGACAUCAGGAGGUUAGUGCAAUGGCAUAAGCCAGCUUGACUGCGAGCGUGACGGCGCGAGCAGGUGCGAAAGCAGGUCAUAGUGAUCCGGUGGUUCUGAAUGGAAGGGCCAUCGCUCAACGGAUAAAAGGUACUCCGGGGAUAACAGGCUGAUACCGCCCAAGAGUUCAUAUCGACGGCGGUGUUUGGCACCUCGAUGUCGGCUCAUCACAUCCUGGGGCUGAAGUAGGUCCCAAGGGUAUGGCUGUUCGCCAUUUAAAGUGGUACGCGAGCUGGGUUUAGAACGUCGUGAGACAGUUCGGUCCCUAUCUGCCGUGGGCGCUGGAGAACUGAGGGGGGCUGCUCCUAGUACGAGAGGACCGGAGUGGACGCAUCACUGGUGUUCGGGUUGUCAUGCCAAUGGCACUGCCCGGUAGCUAAAUGCGGAAGAGAUAAGUGCUGAAAGCAUCUAAGCACGAAACUUGCCCCGAGAUGAGUUCUCCCUGAGACUUAGAGUCUCCUGAAGGAACGUUGAAGACGACGACGUUGAUAGGCCGGGUGUGUAAGCGCAGCGAUGCGUUGAGCUAACCGGUACUAAUGAACCGUGAGGCUUAACCUUACA
rnacentral:rRNA from 8 species